GUAGGUGAACCUGCGGAAGGAUCAUUAUUGUAGGUGCCUCCGGGCCCACCAAAACAAUAACCCUUGUCUUUUUUUGUGCACCCUUUGUUUCCUCGGCAGCUCUGCCUGCCAACGAGGACCCCCCAAAAACCUUUUGCAAUCCUAGUAUAACAAUCUGAAAACAAACAAUAUUAAAACUUUCAACAAUGGAUCUCUUGGCUCUGGCAUCGAUGAAGAACGCAGCAUCUGACUGACUUCAGGUUGCGGAAUC
rnacentral:misc_RNA from 1 species